GAGUUUGAUCCUGGCUCAGGAUAAACGCUGGCGGCAGGCUUUACACAUGCAAGUCGAGCGGGGUAGCAAUACCCAGCGGCAAACGAGUGAGUAAUGUGCAGGAAUGUCCCUUAAGUUUGGUAUAGCUAGCCGAAAGGUUAGGUAAUCCCAAAUGUGAACGAAAGUUUAAAGAAGCAAUUCGCUUAAGGCACAGCCUGCAUCCCAUCAGCUAGUUGGUAAGGUAAUGGCUUACCAAGGCUAAGACGGGUAGCUGGUCUGAGAGGAUGAUCAGCCACGCUGGAACUGCGACACGGUCCAGACAUCUACGGAUGGCAGCAGUGGGGAAUUUUCGGCAAUGGACGAAAGUCUGACCGAGCCAUGCCGCGUGUAGGAUGAAAGCCCUAUGGGUUGUAAACUACUGUGGUAGCUAACUAAAAAAAUGAAGUAGCUAUUAGAAAGAAGUUGCUAACUCUGUG
rnacentral:rRNA from 1 species